AAACGUUCCGAAGGAACGCUAAUACCGCAUACGUCCUACGGGAGAAGAGGGGGAUCUUCGGACCUCUUGCUAAAUGAUGAGCCUAGGUCAGAUUAGCUAGUUGGUGGGGUAAAGGCUCACCAAGGCGACGAUCUGUAGCGGGUCUGAGAGGAUGAUCCGCCACACUGGAACUGAGACACGGUCCAGACUCCUACGGGAGGCAGCAGUGGGGAAUAUUGGACAAUGGGCGCAAGCCUGAUCCAGCCAUGCCGCGUGUGUGAAGAAGGCCUUUUGGUUGUAAAAGCACUUUAAGCGAGGAGGAGGGUAACCUAGCUAAUAUCUAGGAUUAUCGGACGUUACUCGCAGAAUAAGCACCGGCUAACUCUGUGCCAGCAGCCGCGGUAAUACAGAGGGUGCGAGCGUUAAUCGGAAUUACUGGGCGUAAAGCGCGCGUAGGCGGUUUGUUAAGUCGGAUGUGAAAUCCCCGGGCUCAACCUGGGAACUGCAUUCGAUACUGGCAAGCUAGAGUAUGGGAGAGGAU
rnacentral:rRNA from 1 species